GAUGAAGAACGCAGCGAAAUGCGAUAAGUAGUGUGAAUUGCAGAAUUCAGUGAAUCAUCGAAUCUUUGAACGCACAUUGCGCCUCCUGGCAUUCCGGGAGGCAUGCCUGUUCGAGCGUCAUCAAACCCCAUCGUGCAAAUGAAUUAUUUUUUUUGCGCGGAAGUGACGAUUGAGCAAGAAUAACAAAUCCUCUCGCACCUCGUCGAAAUGAUUGCGGGCGGAAUUUGGGAUCGGGUUCCUCGGCGUAGUGUAUCAAUGCAUAUUUAUGCAACUUGCCGCGGAGUUGAGCCUGACCCACGCGUUCUCGCCGUACAAACACCUCAUUACUUUUCAAGUUUUUGACCUCGGAUCAGGUAGGGAUACCCGCUGAACUUAAGCAUAUCAAUAAGCGGAGGA
rnacentral:misc_RNA from 1 species